GUUCAUACUGAAAAUCAAGAUCAAGUGAGCUUUUUCACCAUGGGAGGAUUCUGCUCUCCCUGAGCUGGCAUUGACAGGUGUACUUCCUUCACCUGAUAUUUUUCCCAGAGUGAGCUGCACUCGCCCAUGUACACACUUACAGAUUGGCGCUUGUUUCCUGCCUUACCAGAAUGAAGAAAGAAAGGUCAAGAAAGACAGAGCCUGCUCAAGAUGAUGCUUUGUGAUUAAUGGAAGAGCAAGGAUGAAAACCCAGGUCUCCUGAUUUCCUGUAUCAGAAAUCUUUAUUAACUAUCCUACUGUCUCUGUGAAAAUGCACUCUUGUGUGUGCUAAAGAUCAAAUGCGGAUUAAUCUCUAUCAACAAGCUCUCCUCUGAAGGGCUCCUUUCUCGAUGGCCUUUAACUCAAAGUGUUGCAGAGGAACAGGGUAAGAGUGUCAGUGUGUUCUGAUCGGCCAUUGGGAUCCCCCAAGGAAAUAAAAGGGAAGCAGUUUUGGGUACCAGCCUGCUGAGUCCUGAUUCCCUGGCUCAGAUGGGGCUCAUUGUCGGUAGACAUUGAAUUCCCCAGCAGGAGAUGUUCAUGGCUGGUUCUGAAAGACUCCCAGGGCUUGGUGGCUGUGUUUCUUUAUUUCUUUAGCUAAAAAAUAUUUUAUUAAUUCUUUGAUAAUUUCAGACAAUAUACUUAGAUUGUAUUUACCAUCUCCCUCAACCCCUUAAUGAAAAUGGACUCUUUUCCCAGCAGCUAUCAAUUGCCAAUAGCUCCUCAGCUACCAGUGGGACUUGAUGUCAUCUCCUCACUCCAUGCUUGGAUUUUGUCUGGUUUGAGCAUAAGGUGGUGGAUAACUAUAGUGGACCAGUGUUCUCCAGCCAUAACAGGCCUGUUGAACAUAUGAACUUGAAGUGGUUGUGACAGCGUUCACAACCUGGGUAAGCUCAAGGCAGACAUUAAAAAAAAAACCACAGUGAUAUUAAAGGCUUUAUUUUAAUAAAGUGAUAUUAAAGUGAUAUUAAAGACUUUAUUUUAAUAAACCAAACAUACAUAUAAUUUAUACAAAUGUUUAACUAAUAAAAGUACAAAAAUAAUCUCAGGAGAUGCAAAACCAAGAAACAAGUCCAUUGGAGGCAUCACCACUCUAUUUAGUACUCAAUGCAAGGUGAACUGCAAGGAACAGAGAAGUCAGGUCCAUUGGGCAAGGCCUGAACAUGAGUGACAAGUGCCCCAGAGUGGGGAGGCAGGCAGCCACUUUGGCUCUUCCACCCCACCCCAUGGCUUUUGUUCUUGGUGAGUGGACAGGUAACAGUUGAUAGACCGUACAUCUCCUCCUCCUAGACUUAUGGUAGUCCUGUGUCAAGGUUUGGAAACAGG